rnacentral:rRNA from 1 species
GAUGAACGCUGGCGGCGUGCCUAAUACAUGCAAGUCGAGCGAACGGACGAGAAGCUUGCUUCUCUGAUGUUAGCGGCGGACGGGUGAGUAACACGUGGAUAACCUACCUAUAAGACUGGGAUAACUUCGGGAAACCGGAGCUAAUACCGGAUAAUAUUUUGAACCGCAUGGUUCAAAAGUGAAAGACGGUCUUGCUGUCACUUAUAGAUGGAUCCGCGCUGCAUUAGCUAGUUGGUAAGGUAACGGGUUACCGAGGCAACGAUGCAUAGCCGACCUGAGAGGGUGAUCGGCCACACUGGAACUGAGACACGGUCCAGACUCCUACGGGAGGCAGCAGUAGGGAAUCUUCCGCAAUGGGCGAAAGCCUGACGGAGCAACGCCGCGUGAGUGAUGAAGGUCUUCGGAUCGUAAAACUCUGUUAUUAGGGAAGAACAUAUGUGUAAGUAACUGUGCACAUCUUGACGGUACCUAAUCAGAAAGCCACGGCUAACUACGUG